rnacentral:lncRNA from 1 species
AGGUUAGAUAUGUGAUCUAUUUGAACAAUUUUAUGACUAUUGCAGGCACUUCAGGAAAAAGGCAAAGAAAAGCUUGUGCUCUUGCAUCUUAAGGAUGGUGGAGUGGAAUAGUGUAGGCAGGGAGAAUGAGCAUGAUUAUAUCUUAUCAAGAGAAAUAUUGAGACUAUUGGGCUUGUAGAAAAGAACCAUAAAGAAUGGACUCUUCUGUUACUACGUUGAAUUUAACAAUUAUUGCACUAUAUGAAGAUACAAUUGUUCUCUGGGACUGAAAGAGUGAAGCUGUGCUCUUCAAAAUAGUCAUUGUGUAUGAGAGGCAUGUUUUUCAAAGAGAAAACCAGAAAGAGGAGGUGGAGGGGCCCUAGAUGGGUGGUUUGGGUAGUAGGGUUGAAAUUGACAUUCUCUCUCGCACUCUGUCUCUCUCUCGCACUCUGUCUCUCUCUCCCCAACUCCCACUCCCUCUCUCUUUCUCUCUCCGCAUCUGCUGUCUAGUUGUGAAAUAAUAAUCAAUAGUAUUUACUGAGUGCUUUCCAUUUGCUAACUCCUUUACCUAGAUUACCUCACUCAAUCUUUACAUCACCUUUAUGAGAUAGGUACUAUUAUCAUACUCUUUUUACAGAUGAGUCAACUGGGCAAAGAGAGAAUAUGGGACACACAGCCAAAAAGUGAGUAGUGGGUUAUACAAUGUCACUCUUCAACUUGAGACCAUUUGAGGAAUAGGAAACGAGAACCCACGUAUUUACACCUAAAAAUUUUGCUGUCUUUAUUUAGGUGUAGAGUGUGGACAUUGUAGGUGGCUGUGGAAUAGGACAGGUCUUGAACAACUUGGGAUUGAGCUCAUGUUGCAAUAAUUCAAAAUUCAUAAUGUGUGACCCACCUUGAGUCCGAGUGCUUAAGAGGCAGCAGCAUGCUCCUGAGGAGGAGGAUCCUUGACAAAAGAAAGGUGAAAGUCAUGGAGAUAACCCUCCUGUACCUUGAAGAGCUUCCAUCUCUCCUGGAGAGUUCCCUUCCAGGGCUAAAACCUGGAAUUCCAGACUCCCAGGCCCAAGCAAAAUCCCAUCUACAGCAGAAGGGAAAAUCUUGGUUCACAAACAAAAUCUAA